CACCCUUCAGGCCACCCUGGUGGCCAUCCCCAUGGCCCCCCUAAGCCUGGUCCCCACCAACCAGGGCAUCCUCCCCAUGGGCACCCUCCUCCAGGACCCCCUCACAGCCCUCCGAAGCACCAUUAAGAAGGAUGAGAAGAAGCUCUCCAAAUACUACAGAGGCAAGCACUCCAGCAGCUCAAGCAGCAGUCCUGACUCUGACAGAAGAGGACAUCUCCUACUCAUACUGAAGCAAUGAUACACAAAGACAAAUGCCCCAUGGGAACCACCUGCACGUUGCUCCACUCUUUCCCCCUUUCUCUUAGAGCUGCAUUUCACCCAUUGAGUGAUUUCCCUAUUUUUACCUUGUAAACUCUUUUACCUGGAUUCACUGUGAGACAAUGGGCUCUGUCUGCUGUCUUUUGGGAGAGCCCACUAAAAUAAGGGCAGUAUCAUGAUGCUUGUUU